ACCAGGAUGGCGUUGGGUUAAGGCGUUGGACUUAAGAUCCAAUGGAUCUUAAUGUCCUGGGUGAUUAUUGGGUUCGAACCCCACUCCUGGUA
rnacentral:tRNA from 1 species